CAGAGCUGGAGGUGAACCCAAACACUCAGAGGUAAUUUGCCUUGAGGAGCAAGAGCCCUUGAGACCUAUGUGUGGACUUUGGAAAAAAGAAUGUGUGAACAAUAGUAAAGGAUAUGAACGUGCCAUCCUCUGACAGGAUAUGAAAGCAUCAGAGAGACUACAUACUUCUCUGUGAGGGUGCAGGAAGGAGGAUGCUUGCUUUGUUCAUUCAUCUUUGAUACAUACCAUCACAUAAGAAGUGCCUCUUCAGGACAAAAGGCACCAUUUCAUUGCCUGGUUCAUCUCUGGUUCAUGCCUCCUGAAAGUGUUUGGUGUGUCUCUCUCCUUGCUUUCUGCAGGAACCUAGCUUUGUAAAUCAACUGCUUGGGAUAAGAAAAU
rnacentral:lncRNA from 1 species